rnacentral:snRNA from 1 species
AAGUAUUUUGUGUAUAUUUACUAAAAUUGGCACGAUACAGAGAGGAUUAGCAUAGCCCUGCGCAAGGAUCACACGCAAAAUCAUGAGACGUUCCAUAUAAAA